CGGUUGAUCCUGCCGGAGGCCACUGCUAUCGGGGUCCGACUAAGCCAUGCGAGUCAAGGGGCUCCCUUCGGGGAGCACCGGCGCACGGCUCAGUAACACGUGGCUAACCUACCCUCGGGUGGGGGAUAACCUCGGGAAACUGAGGCUAAUCCCCCAUAGGGGAGGAGGUCUGGAAUGAUCCCUCCCCGAAAGGCGUAAGCCGCCCGAGGAUGGGGCUGCGGCGGAUUAGGUAGUUGGUGGGGUAACGGCCCACCAAGCCUACGAUCCGUACGGGCCCUGAGAGGGGGAGCCCGGAGAUGGACACUGAGACACGGGUCCAGGCCCUACGGGGCGCAGCAGGCGCGAAACCUCCGCAAUGCGCGAAAGCGCGACGGGGGGACCUCGAGUGCCCACGCUCUGCGUGGGCUUUUCCGGAGUGUGAACAGCUCCGGGAAUAAGGGCUGGGCAAGUCCGGUGCCAGCAGCCGCGGUAAUACCGGCGGCCCAAGUGGUGGCCACUGUUAUUGGGCCUAAAGCGUCCGUAGCCGGCCCGGUAAGUCUCUGCUUAAAUCCUGCGGCUCAACCGCAGGGCUGGCAGAGAUACUGCCGGGCUUGGGACCGGGAGAGGCCGGGGGUACCCCAGGGGUAGCGGUGAAAUGCGUUGAUCCCUGGGGGACCACCUGUGGCGAAGGCGCCCGGCUGGAACGGGUCCGACGGUGAGGGACGAAGGCCAGGGGAGCAAACCGGAUUAGAUACCCGGGUAGUCCUGGCUGUAAACUCUGCGGACUAGGUGUCGCGUCGGCUUCGGGCCGACGCGGUGCCGAAGGGAAGCCGUUAAGUCCGCCGCCUGGGGAGUACGGUCGCAAGACUGAAGCUUAAAGGAAUUGGCGGGGGAGCACUACAACGGGUGGAGCCUGCGGUUUAAUUGGAAUCAACGCCGGA
rnacentral:rRNA from 1 species